CUAACCAAGAAAGACAUUAGAAAUCUCAAAAAAGUGUUGGUGCAAGAUAGGUAGAUUAUUAAUGUACUAAUCAAGGUCUAUUUAUAUGAAGACUUGGGUAGCACGUUCAAAUAAACUAAAAUUCAAUACCGACGAUUAACAUUGUGUUGUAGAGGUGGUAUAAAAGAGACUGCAUAUAUAUAGUACAAAUACGGCAUUCUAACACAGAGCUUGAAGAUAGACGAUCUUUGGUGAUCACAUUGGCUGUUCAUAUAUAUAGAACGUGUUUCGCCUUGGAAUUUUGUUUCAAGCAGAAUCUGACUAACCAAGAAGACAUUAGAAAUCUCAACAAACCGUGUAGGUGCAACAUCGGUAGAUUAUUAAUGUACUAAUCAAGGUCUAUUUAUAAGAAGACUUGGGUAGCACGUUCAGAUUCAAUACAGACGAUCAACAUUGUGUUGUAGUGGUGGUAUAAAGGAGGCUGCUCAAUACAAAUACGGC